rnacentral:rRNA from 1 species
UACGUAGGGGGCAGCGUGUCCGGAAUCAUUGGCGUAAAGCGCGUGUAGGCGGCCAGAAAAGUCCGCUGUGAAAACUCGAGGCUCAACUUCGAGCUGUCGGUGGAAACUUUCUGGCUAGAGUCCGGAAGAGGAGAAUGGAAUUCCUGGUGUAGCGGUGAAAUGCGCAGAUAUCAGGAAGAACACCCGUGGCGAAGGCGGUUCUCUGGGACGGUACUGACGCUGAGACGCGAAAGCGUGGGGAGCGAACAGG